rnacentral:misc_RNA from 1 species
AAAGUCGUAACAAGGUUUCCGUAGGUGAACCUGCGGAAGGAUCAUUACAGAGUUCAUGCCCUAACGGGUAGAUCUCCCACCCUUGAGUAUUAUACUUUUGUUGCUUUGGCGGGCCGCCUAGGCUACCGGCUUCGGCUGGUGAGUGCCCGCCAGAGGACCCAAAAACUCUGAAUUAUAGUGUUGUCUGAGUACUAUAUAAUAGUUAAAACUUUCAACAACGGAUCUCUUGGUUCUG